rnacentral:rRNA from 1 species
AUUGAACGCUGGCGGCAGGCCUAACACAUGCAAGUCGAACGGUAACAGGAAGAAGCUUGCUUCUUUGCUGACGAGUGGCGGACGGGUGAGUAAUGUCUGGGAAACUGCCUGAUGGAGGGGGAUAACUACUGGAAACGGUAGCUAAUACCGCAUAACGUCGCAAGACCAAAGAGGGGGGCCUUCGGGCCUCUUGCCAUCGGAUGUGCCCAGAUGGGAUUAGCUAGUAGGUGGGGUAACGGCCCACCUAGGCGACGAUCCGUAGCUGGUGUGAGAGGAUGACAAGCCACACGAGAGCUGAGACACGGUCCAGACUCCUACGGGAGGCAGCAGUGGGGAACAUUGGACAAAGGGCGCAAGUCUUAUGCAGCCAUGCCGCGUGUAUGAAGAAGGCCUUCGGGUUGUAAAGUACUUUCAGCGGGGAGGAAGGGAGUAAAGUUAAUACCUUUGCUCAUUGACGUUACCGGCAGAAGAAGCACCGGCUAACUACGUG